GAGAGAGAGAGAGAGAGAGAGAGAGAGAGAGAGAGAGAGAGAGAUUUGAAUUUCCCAUCUGGAAGGGGAGCGGUAGAACGUCAGGGCCCGGCUGAGGGGCGUGAUUGGAGGGCGCCUUCGGCAGCCGCCCGCGGCAGAAGCCGCGGCCCCAGCUCGCCUGGCGGAGUUGCACGCGGCGGCGGGAGCUGGAAUAGCAGAAGGAACCACCUCGUGGAGUCGGGCCGGAGCCCUGCAGUGGCUCAGACGGUUGCAGGGACCGCCAGGUUGUCACGUCUUCCUGAGCCAGGCCAGCCAGGAGCGCUGCAUGCAAAUUCUGCCGUGGGCUAGGGCACGCUAACCAGAGCCGGCGGCAUGGACUUCGUCAUGAAGCAGGCCCUUGGAGGGGCCACCAAGGACAUGGGGAAGAUGCUGGGGGGAGAAGAGGAGAAGGACCCGGACGCGCAGAAGAAGGAGGAGGAGCGGCAGGAGGCCCUGCGGCAGCAGGAGGAGGAGCGCAAGGCCAAGCACGCGCGCAUGGAGGCGGAGCGGGAGAAGGUCCGGCAGCAGAUCCGAGAUAAGUAUGGGCUGAAGAAGAAGGAGGAGAAGGAAGCAGAGGAGAAAGCAGCCCUCGAACAGCCCUGCGAGGGGAGCCUGACCCGGCCCAAGAAGGCCAUCCCUGCGGGCUGCGGGGACGAGGAGGAGGAGGAAGAGGAGAGCAUCCUGGACACGGUGCUCAAAUACCUGCCCGGGCCGCUGCAGGACAUGUUCAAGAAGUAACCAGGCCUCCUGCCCCAGCCCACUCCACCUGUUACUACUUCUUUUUGGUUCUUUCUUUUCUUUUUAUUAGGUUAAGUCUCAAUUCUGAAGGGGAAAACCUCAGUUGGCCUCUGCCCCCCUUCCCCGGCCAGGGGCUUCUCCCCCUCAGCUCUUCCUCACACCUCCCUUCAUUCCAGGGUAUCCACCUGCACCCCACUCCCAAGUAGCUUGAAAAAGGGAAGACAGUCUUUCCCCAGUGGGGGUGGGGGGGCGCUGAACCCAGAGCCAAAGGUACUGGGAGCCCCCUCAGGAAGCCUAAGGUCAUGCUAGUGUGGUGACCCCUAUACGUUCCUUCAUGCUCCCCACUGCCAGGAGGACCACUGUCCCCAGUCAGCCAAAGUAAUGACACAUUCCAGCCCUGCCCAGCAUGCUGACCUUUAGCCUCCAACCCUCAGUGGGCCCCCAGGUCAGGGCAGGGGCACUGAGUGGCCUGGCUCUGAGGAAGGGAGUCAGGGGAAGCCUGUCCCAGGAAGGCCCAGGCUGAGAGACCCCAGGUCUGGCCAGGCUGGGAUCUGGGCAGGAGGCUGGGGCUCUCCUUCUUCCAUCUCCUUGGUGACACCCAGCCCAGGAGCACCCCCUUCCCCAGCCCCCACCUGGAGAGACAUGGCCCCUGCCAAGCUGGUCCCUCCAAAUGGAUCCUUUGUGGACUUUAGCUCAUCUGUGGAGGAGCCCCAGGUAGGGAAGCCCCUUGUUCCACACCCCCACCCCACUUAGGUCCUGGGCCCCCACUGCCAGGCUAGGCCCAGCUUGCUCAGCCAAGGGGCUGCCCAGGCCCCCAGAAAACACUUGGAGCCAUCGGGCAGCGAUGGUCUGUGCCGUGGGGAGCACCCCCAUUGGUGUGGCCAAGCUGCCCCCAUUCUUAUCCAACCCUCUCCCCACCCUGUCCUGUCCAUGCGCUUCCAGGGCCCCGUGGUCCUCAGGAGGACCCUUCCUGGCCAAAGCCCCAAGCCUUUGGUGAGAAGCCAAUUCCCGCUUGACAGAAGGCACCACCCAUUCAUCUCACUGGCCAAGGACAAACUCUCCUCUGGGAUGUCUGGGACUGGCAUUUGUCCCCCACUCAAAUUAUCACAGCUUUCUGCUCAGUCAGUUGUGUGGGGAUGGUGAGGGAAGAGGGGUCAAAUGAGGGAGGAAACUGUAUACAUGCAUGCAUGAUAGCGUGUGGCAGAGGCUGCAUCAGAGAUUGCGUGUUCAGAGAUCAUAUGCAUAUGUGUAGGGCUAGAGCGUGUGUGUGUCUUGAGAUUGUGUGUGUUGUAGUUGUUAUAUCUAUGUGUUACAGAUUGUGUGUUAGCCUUGUGUAUGUGUGCUUGAUUGAGGUGGUGUAUUUGGGUUGAAAUUGUGUCAUGUGUCUGUGCUAUCCAUCUCGUGUUUAGAGGCUGUAUAUGUUAGCUUGUGUAAGAAUGUGUUUUCAAAAUAGCGUGUGUAUUGGGAGUGAUGGGUUUGUGUUAGGUGUUGUAGAAGUGUGUGUUUGAGAGAAUUGGGAGAUAUUUGAAGGCUUGUGUGUGCAUGUUUGGGGGUCUGAAAAGACAGUUACGUGCAUGGAUGUGAGCUUGGGGAGAAAGAACGUGGGUAAGAUGUCCCCUCCCAGCCCUGAGACCAUUGGUCACAGUUGGCCACUUCCAAUAGGAGACCUUGUCCUUGGCCUAGAGUGCUCCCACCCUUGGGGGGUUCCUGCCUGAGGUCCUCAGAAUCCCACUGUGACAGACCCAGGCAGUGCCCCAGGAAGCCAUGCUGGGCCCCGCCAGGGCCUAUCCCAAAAGCAGGGCCAGGGAGGGGCGACUUGCCUGCCCCUGAAGCCCCUGUUCCCAUUGGCCCCAGUUUGCAUUCUGCAGGUUUUCCAUUUUAGUGGAUUCUGCUUUUAUUUCAGAGACAGACAUGUGUCUUCUCUGUCCGUUUCCAAUAGGUAAAGCCAUAUCAGUUAGACUGCAAUACUUUAAACACGAGACAAAACAAUCCAUAUGUUUAGGGAACCAGAAAAGUCCCCUGGUCUGUCCCUUCCUUGGGGAGCAGGGUCUCGGCAGCUCCAGCUCCCUGGACCUACCUUCCUCCCUGCACCCCCGCCCCCUCCUCGUGCCCCUGUGUCCAGCCCCCCGGGGGCCUGUGUCUGUGUCUGUGCCAGUGUCUGUGAUGGGGAGCCACCUCGCACCCCUGUUGUCUGCUUGUCUCUUUGUGUCUGUUAUCCUGGGCAGGAUGGUCAUUCUCAAGAACCCUGGAGUCCUGGGCCAGAGACAAGCAGGGCCCAGUCCAGGGGCCCCAGGCCUCCCCAGCCCGUGUGUGUGAGCCCUGCUUGGACACAAGUGUUCGGAGGUGCCCCUCCGCCAGUUGACAGGGACCUUCAAACCUCGAUGGUGAUGCCAGGACACAGAGAGGACCAGAUAGGUAGCAGAGACCAAGGCGCAGGGCGCUUCAGAUGAGCAAGAGAACCCAGUCAAACCAGAUAUUCCAGGUGGGCUGGAGGGACCCCAGACCCUCAGAGGGCUGCCCUGGUGGUCUCCACAGUGCAGUCCCUCUGUAUUCCCAGAGUGGGAUCGGGGCUUUCAGCCCCACCCUGAUGCCUGCCCUCCAGGAUGGCUGGUUUAGUCUGAGUCCACGUCCCAGACCCCUCUAUUCUGCUCUGGGACAGCAGGACUUGAGGUCUUCCUGGGGGUGGGUAUGGGGGAAAAUUUCUGCCUGGCACACACCUGGCUCCAACCACUGCCAAGUGAUCACUCUUAGGCCCAGGGGAACACAAUGACUGUCAUUACUGAUGCAGACCUGGCUGUGGAGAGCAGCUAAUGUGUGGCCCAGAGAGCAUGUCUGUGUGGCACACGUAGUGCAUAGAAUACGUGAGAGUUGCUCUAGCAGGGGUGGGAUCCUCACAGGAUCGCCUGGGAGGUGAGGUGUGCGUGACCCACUGGGUGGGAGAGGAAUGAGUGUGCACACAUAAAUGGGGCAGUGUGCAUGCAACACACUUAGGGGAGGAGUGGCCCCAGAAUUCAGCACACACACAAGGGAGAGGACCCCCAGAUAGGAAAAUAGGAAGGAGCAAUCAUUUGUAGAUGGGUGAAAAGAAUGAGGCGCAAGGGAGCGUGCACCAGGUGAGGUGAGCGUGUGCGCUCUUGGGGAAGGCCGGGCUCCCGUGCCUGGGAGGCGCUGCCAGAGAGAAGGAAAAAGGCAGCUACGGGUCGCCCUGGGCUGGGCACUGGCGACGGGUCAGGGCGGGUCAGGAUCUCCAAACAUGGACGUCCUCCCCUCCAAAUCCAGAAGCUCCCAAAAGGUGUCCUUAACAGCAAGGCUGUGCAGGGUACUCCUCCAGAUGGAAUCAGGAAGUGGAGACGCCAUCCCAGGUGUGUGAGAGCGAGAGAACGAAAAGGAGACGGCAGUGUUGCAGCCCAGAGCCCCUGUCAGGGGACAGCCGGUGGGCAAAGCAGCCAGCCCACAGCCUUGUGGCUAGAGUGCAGUGCGGUGGGCCCCUAGCUCCAAGAGCCCGGCACCCAGCUGGCAGGGUUGCCCAUGCCCGCUGGCCACCUGCUCCAUCCUUUAGGGUUCCACAGGCCCCUGACUGCACAGGGAGGCUGGGGUCAGCCUGGGCUCCCAGGCCUGAGGACAUGCCUCCCACCAAAUGUCCCCUGCUCCAGUCCCACUCCUGUCACCCCACGCUCUUCACUGGGGAGAGAAUGGGAGGUGCUCGUGCUGGCCCUGGGUGGGAGCGGGGAGUCCUGGUGAGACCCAGGUGAGAUCGACCAUCCUGCUCGCGCGGGGGAACCCCUUUCCCACAUUUGUGCUGUGUCAUUGUUGCUCUGCUUCCUUUCAAUGUGUCAGUGCCUGGGGGGAGGGGAGGAGCACCCCCUCAGCCCCCCUGAACCUGACCAAAAGCCAUGGCUGUUGCUCCCCCCUUUGUAUGAUGCAAAUGCUGAGAUGUACAAAAUCAACCAUGACAACAAAGAAAAAGACCUUGUACA
ensembl:lncRNA CPLX2 complexin 2